rnacentral:rRNA from 1 species
AGGGAAUAUUGCGCAAUGGACGAAAGUCUGACGCAGCAACGCCGCGUGGGUGAUGAAGCAUCUUGGUGUGUAAAACCCUGUCAGCGGGGAAGAACCGUGCGGAUAGUAACUGAUCUGUACCUGACGGUACCCG